rnacentral:tRNA from 1 species
GCUGUUAUAGCUCAGUUGGUUAGAGUACCCGUCUGAUAAGCGGGAGGUCAGUGGUUCAAAUCCAUUUAACAGCACCA